GACAGAGGGGGCAAGCGUUGUUCGGAAUUACUGGGCGUAAAGGGCGCGUAGGUGGCCUUCUAAGUUGAACGUGAAAUCCCUGGGCUCAACCCAGGAACUGCGUCCAAGACUGGGAGGCUUGAAUCCGGGAGAGGGAUGCGGAAUUCCAGGUGUAGCGGUGAAAUGCGUAGAUAUCUGGAGGAACACCGGUGGCGAAGGCGGCAUCCUGGACCGGUAUUGACACUGAGGCGCGAAAGCCAGGGGAGCAAACGGG
rnacentral:rRNA from 1 species